CAAAGGGUACGUUCCACAUUUGACAGGCGCACCACCAAACGGUGUAUUUAGGAUUUUGCUAUAUACACGGGUCAUAAUCAAAGGGUACGUUCCGCAUUUGACAGGCGCACCACCAAACGGUGUAUUUAGGAUUUUGCUAUAUACACGGGUCAUAAUCAAAGGGCCGACACUACUAAAUUCAAUCUUUGUCAAAUUUUUCCCUAUUGUAGUUUUAUUCAGCAAUCAGCAAGACUUUCUAAGAUAACUAAUAUGGGACAAUGAUGUUGAU
rnacentral:lncRNA from 1 species